rnacentral:rRNA from 1 species
GUAGGGAAUAUUGGGCAAUGGAUGCAAGUCUGACCCAGCCAUGCCGCGUGGAGGAAGAAGGUCCUCUGGAUUGUAAACUCCUUUUUUGGGGGAAGAAUAGUUCUCUUGCGAGGGAAUGUGACGGUACCCUAAGAAUAAGCCACGGCUAACUACGUGCCAGCAGCCGCGGUAAUACGUAGGUGGCAAGCGUUGUCCGGAUUUAUUGGGUUUAAAGGGUGCGUAGGUGGUUUGAUAAGUCAGUGGUGAAAGCUGGUUGCUCAACAAUCAAGUUGCCAUUGAUACGGUCGGACUUGAGAGAAGUGGAGGUUCAUGGAAUGGAUGGUGUAGCGGUGAAAUGCAUAGAUAUCAUCCAGAACGUCGAUUGCGAAGGCAGUGGGCUGUACUUUAUCUGACACUGAGGCACGAAAGUGUGGGGAUCAAACAGGAUUAGAUACCCCGGUAGUCC